UACGAAGGGGGCUAGCGUUGUUCGGAAUUACUGGGCGUAAAGCGCACGUAGGCGGAUGUUUAAGUCGGGGGUGAAAUCCCAGGGCUCAACCCUGGAACUGCCUUCGAUACUGGACGUCUCGAGUCCGAGAGAGGUGAGUGGAAUUCCGAGUGUAGAGGUGAAAUUCGCAGAUAUUCGGAAGAACACCAGUGGCGAAGGCGGCUCACUGGCUCGGAACUGACGCUGAGGUGCGAAAGCGUGGGGAGCAAACAGG
rnacentral:rRNA from 1 species